GACGAACCGUCCAAACGUUAUUCGGAAUCACUGGGCUUACAGAGUUCGUAGGCGGUCUGGAAAGUUGGGUGUGAAAUCCCUCGGCUCAACCGAGGAACUGCGCUUGAAACUACCAGACUCGAGGGAGAUAGAGGAAAGCGGAACUGAUGGUGGAGCGGUGAAAUGCGUUGAUAUCAUCAGGAACACCGGUGGCGAAGGCGGCUUUCUGGGUCUUACCUGACGCUGAGGAACGAAAGGCCAGGGGAGCGAACGGG
rnacentral:rRNA from 1 species